rnacentral:rRNA from 1 species
CCUACGGGAGGCAGCAGUGAGGAAUAUUGGUCAAUGGACGAGAGUCUGAACCAGCCAAGUAGCGUGAAGGAUGACUGCCCUAUGGGUUGUAAACUUCUUUUAUAUGGGAAUAAAAUGUUCCAAGUGUGGGAUUUUGUAUGUACCAUAUGAAUAAGGAUCGGCUAACUCCGUGCCAGCAGCCGCGGUAAUACGGAGGAUCCGAGCGUUAUCCGGAUUUAUUGGGUUUAACGGGAGCGUAGGUGGAUUGUUAAGUCAGUUGUGAAAGUUUGCGGCUCAACCGUAAAAUUGCAGUUGAAACUGGCAGUCUUGAGUACAGUAGAGGUGGGCGGAAUUCGUGGUGUAGCGGUGAAAUGCUUAGAUAUCACGAAGAACUCCGAUUGCGAAGGCAGUUCACUGGACUGCAACUGACACUGAGGCUCGAAAGUGUGGGUAUCAAACAGGAUUAGAUACCCGGGUAGUC